rnacentral:miRNA from 1 species
GUAAGGGACCGGAGAGUAGGA